CUGAACUGCUGACACGAGUUGUUGCUGGUCUCCAAAUGGGGGCAUGUGCACGCUCUGUUUGUGCAUCCACUCACACCUGUGCACCUUUUGUAGUUCUGUGGCCUGGGGGACUCAUCCUCCUGCUGUGGUUCUGCAUCUUUACACUCACGCUGUGAUAAAGUCUAAUGGAAUGCAUGCCGCGUUUAACGCAAUACAAUA
rnacentral:misc_RNA from 1 species